rnacentral:rRNA from 1 species
CAUGGCGGGCCUCCUUAUACAUGCAAGUCGACGGAGACGUUAUAGCAAUAUGAUGUCUUAGUGGCGAACGGGUGAGUAACGCGUUGGUGACCUGCCUCGAAGAGGGGGAUAACAGCUCGAAAGGGCUGCUAAUACCCCAUGUGGUCGCGAAGGUUAGAGGCUUUGCGAUUAAAGGAGCAAUCCACUUCGGGAGGGGCCUGCGUCCCAUCAGCUAGUUGGUAGGGUAAAAGCCUACCAAGGCGACGACGGGUAGGGGGCCUGAGAGGGUGACCCCCCACACUGGCACUGAAACACGGGCCAGACACCUACGGGUGGCAGCAGUAGGGAAUAUUGCACAAUGGGCGAAAGCCUGAUGCAGCAACGCCGCGUGCGCGAUGAAGGCCUUCGGGUCGUAAAGCGCUUUUCGGGGAGAUGAGGAAGGACAGUAUCCCCGGAAUAAGGUUCGGCUAACUACGUGCCAGCAGCCGCGGUAAAACGUAGGAACCGAGCGUUAUCCGAAUUUACUGGGCGUAAAGCGCGUGUAGGCGGUUCGGUAAGUUGGAUGUGAAAUCUCCUGGCUCAACUGGGAGAGGUCGUUCAAUACUGUCGAACUAGAGGGUGGUAGAGGGAGGUGGAAUUCCCGGUGUAGUGGUGAAAUGCGUAGAUAUCGGGAGGAACACCAGUGGCGAAAGCGGCCUCCUGGACCAUUCCUGACGCUCAGACGCGAAAGCUAGGGGAGCGAACGGGAUUAGAUACCCCGGUAGUCCUAGCUGUAAACGAUGUGGACUUGGCGUCGGUGGGUUCAAAUCCGCCGGUGCCGUAGCUAACGCGAUAAGUCAACCGCCUGGGGACUACGGCCGCAAGGUUAAAACUCAAAGGAAUUGACGG